GAUGAACGCUGACAGAAUGCUUAACACAUGCAAGUCAACUUGAAUUUGAGUUUUUAACUUAGGUUUGGGUGGCGGACGGGUGAGUAACGCGUAAAGAACUUGCCUCACAGCUAGGGACAACAUUUGGAAACGAAUGCUAAUACCUAAUAUUAUGAUAAUAGGGCAUCCUAUAAUUAUGAAAGCUAUAAGCGCUGUGAGAGAGCUUUGCGUCCCAUUAGCUAGUUGGAGAGGUAACGGCUCACCAAGGCGAUGAUGGGUAGCCGGCCUGAGAGGGUGAUCGGCCACAAGGGGACUGAGACACGGCCCUUACUCCUACGGGAGGCAGCAGUGGGGAAUAUUGGACAAUGGACCAAGAGUCUGAUCCAGCAAUUCUGUGUGCACGAUGAAGUUUUUCGGAAUGUAAAGUGCUUUCAGUUGGGAAGAAAAAAAUGACGGUACCAACAGAAGAAGUGACGGCUAAAUACGUGCCAGCAGCCGCGGUAAUACGUAUGUCACGAGCGUUAUCCGGAUUUAUUGGGCGUAAAGCGCGUCUAGGUGGUUAUAUAAGUCUGAUGUGAAAAUGCAGGGCUCAACUCUGUAUUGCGUUGGAAACUGUAUAACUAGAGUACUGGAGAGGUAAGCGGAACUACAAGUGUAGAGGUGAAAUUCGUAGAUAUUUGUAGGAAUGCCGAUGGGGAAGCCAGCUUACUGGACAGAUACUGACGCUGAAGCGCGAAAGCGUGGGUAGCAAACAGG
rnacentral:rRNA from 1 species